UUCAGUGUUUCCCAUACAAACAGGUUCUCAUUGCUCAUGCGCAAGAGAGAGAAAAAUCAUCUGAUAUAUUUUAUUAAUAUUUAAAGGAGAAAGGAGAGAGAGAGUCAGACACAGAGACAGAGUAGACACAAGAGGAAAGAAGGCCGUGGGACAACAGAGGCGGAGAUGGGAGCGAUGCAGCCACAAGUCAAGGAACACCAAGGGCUGCUGGCAGCUCCCAGAAGCUGGCAAGAGGCGAGGAAUGACUCUUCCUUAGAGCCUUUGGAAGUAGGAUGGCCCUCAGACACCUUGAUUUCAGACUUCUAGACUCUAAACUAUGUACAUCAUAAUAUAUUUCAAACUCUGUGCAGAUUACAUCAUGUUCACCACCCAAAAACUAAUUAUAGUCCAUCCCCUCACAGGUGGAGCUGAGCUAUUUAUAGCAUCAUCAGGUACUUUUGAUAAUUGAAGAUGAGGAGAUUCUGCACAAUCCUAAAGCCUUUCUUCAUAGAUGGAAUUUGUUUUAAGGAAGCAAAAAACAAAGAUACGUCUGGGAACUUUGACUGAGGGGAAUUGGCAUUUAAACUACAUCUACUGGCUCCAAUAUUGGCACCAGGUUAACAUUCAGUUUCUGGAACUCUUCAUUUCACUUGGGUUCCAAUUAUUCUUGCUCUCUCAUCAAAAAUGUAAAUUCCCUUGUAGGAUCGUGCGGAACAGACACUUAAUAUUUACUCAUCAUUCUCCUAAUUGGUUUCCCAAUCAAUAGUUACUACAGUUGAAAAUUGUCAUUGCUAUGUCUUAGAAAACAAAGAUUAUAUGGAACCAAAACUGUAAAGGCACAAAAGUGAUCAUAAAACACACAUUUUAGGUAUAUGCAAUAAAUUUAACAAAUAUUAAGGGCUUUGAUCUGAAUGUCUGUGUCCUCCUAAAAUUCACAUGUUGGAAUCCUUACGCCCGAUGUUAUGGUGUUAG
rnacentral:lncRNA from 1 species